rnacentral:lncRNA from 1 species
GGAAAUGGCAUAUCCACUUAUUGCGGGUCAACUGAUCGCCGAGGUCGAUGAAGAUGACGUGUAGAAAUGGCAUUUCCACUUGUUGCAGGUCCACUAAUAAAGAAAUUGCUUUAUAUUUAUUUGAUUCAUGUUUACAUAAACACAAAAGCAAAGCUCUUAAUCAUCACAAUAACAAGAGUAAAACAUGAGCUUAUGAAUAUGAAUAAUAAUUUAUUUUUUAAAUUAUAAGUCUAGGAGUAAAUCUAUAGAAAGACCAUAGAGAACAUGUGUUUCACAUUUUCUCAAUCAAGAGAAACAUUCCAUAUGGGUCAUAAAAAUAGGUAGAUAGUAGAGUAACUAACAAGGUUGCUUAAUGACAAAUCAGGAUUAAAGCAACCAAUACAUGUCUCAUAACUUUAAAUCUUUUCUUCCUAGCAACCAAACAAAUAGUACACAAUCACAACAACUAAAAGAAUAAAAAAAUUAAUACUUUAUCACUUUCUAAACUUUAAUGUUGCUAAGAUAUUCAUCAAUAGAGUAAAAAAGAUUGAACCUUUAUGUUUUCUAUCUGAAAUUCAAGAAACCAGAAAGAAAUCUUAGUGAUAUAUCUACUUGUAAAAAGAUUGAUUUUGAUUUGAGUAAAUUUAUGGCCUUAACCUAAAAAUAAAAACACCUUAAAUUAUUCAUCCAUUGAUAAAUAAGUAAAGCAAGUAUUGGAAUAAAAAGCACUUACCUAAUUGAAUUUUAUUGAUUUCUAAUAAUUUCUAGUGUUUGUUGAUAGGAUUAUAAUAGAGAGAGUUAAGUGUUGUCUGAGUGUGUGUGUGAGUGUGUGUGUGUGCAGAGAGAGGGAGAGAGUUUGUAGGUGAUAGAAAAGAGAGUUUAUUUCUUAAUUAUACAACUGGAAUGGAACAAGGGUGAGAAACCAAAACAUCUCGAUCAGAAUUUGGGUGAGAAAUCCAGAAUGACCCGGGAUCUUGAGCGAGAUAAAAUUUGUUUUACUUUGUUUUAUUUUUAAAAAUUGUACGAGAUACACUAGCCAUUUUGAUCAGAAUAUAAUGGAAUUGACAACCUUGCUCAUAACGAUAAGGUGUGAUAGAUAACAAGAUCUAAAAAUGAUGAGUGAUAUUUGCAACAAAAAAAGUCUUUAUAUAUUUAUUUAUUUUUACAAAAAAGCAAAGUUUCAACUUUACAAGGAAAGAAUCUUUUAAAGAAUAUUACCAUUCCCGGAUUGAUUCUUUAAUAAAAAGUAAAACCUUAUAUUUUAAAAAAAAUAAAAAAACUUCCACUUUUUGUGAGCAUGACCUUUUUAAGGAUUAUAGUUUGUUUGUUUUUUUUUUAAAUUAUUUAUAUUUUCUGAAAGCCACCAAACUUUCAACUUCUCAUGAAUAAAAUCAUUUUAAGGAUUAUAUCAUUCACGAGUUAAUUCUUUAUUUACUUUAAAAAAAAAAAAUAAAGACUCAACUUCUGUAGGACAUAAGCCCUUUAAGAAUUAUACCAUCCUUAAAUCAAUUUUUGGAUCAACAAACAUCACACAAGAAGAAACCAAAGACCCAUGCAAUCACAAUAUUAGGACACAAAACCUCACAUUAAUUAAGGGAUACAUACACACAUUAAAAUUAAUAAUAUAUUAUAAAUUAAUCUAAAUAGAUAAAUCGAUGCAUUAGGGUUGGAAAUUAACCUUUGGGGAGCUGCUAGAGUUGACUAGAAAGCACUGGAAAUUGGCCUGGCAGUGAAAACACAUGGGUUGCACAUGCAGGCAAACAAACUAGAUUAUGAAGCGUCGUUGCAUGUUGCAUGUGUCGGCAAAGUGAGAAGGCUUAUGGGUUAAUAAAUUAUGAGCUCCUUUUCUUCUUCCUUCCUACACACCACCACCAUCAUCACUCGUGGUCGAAGAUUGGGUCAAGGACUCUUUUGGUCUUUCUUCUAUCUCUCGGUUCUAUCUUCCUCUUCGAUGAUGUUUUUAUCAUUACUGCUGUGUGAUGAUGUGAUUCAAUUUUUAUGGUGGCUCGUGGUAGAAUGAGGGCUGUGGAUGGAGAAUCUGUCCAGGUUACCAAUUAGCAAUGCUCCAUUUGGAGUAUUAUGUGGCUAAUUUAAUUUGUAAAUUUGAGUGGAGGGCUGUGGAUGGAGAUGAUGUUGAUUUGUCUGAGAGGACAGAGCGUACAAAUGGUGAUGAAGAAUCCAUUGCGUGUCCGCAUAUCGCCGAGGUAGUCGAGUUUGCCGUGUGGAAAUUGGAAAUGCCAUUUCCACUUAUAAUCUUCGAGGUCGAUGAAUGGG